AUAGCUUUAUUCAUAAUUACCAAAAAUCAGAAAAAAACAAGAUGUACUUCAAUAGGACCGCCGCGGCUAGGUCACCUCCUCCGGACGCCGGCACGCGCUGCCCUGGCAACCGUCACCAGGGAAACAAGCGACGUCACUUGCGCGUUUUCAACGCGACUCUACGGGGGCCGAGGGGGCGCCAAGAGUUCUGAAAGUGACAGAGGCGCUGAUGGUGCGCUGGGCUGGAUCCAAGCGGGCACGAUCUCGAGUGCGCUGGAGAUUUUAAAUCUUCUGUAGUAUAUUUUUUAAAAAGUUGUGUGGACCAAACGUUCUGCACAGAGAUGCCCAUUCCGCUCUCCUGCUGGGGAGUUAAAAAGCGAACGAUUCCACCAUGAAAUUUAAAGUAGCCAUUCAGAUAUAUUUGAAAAAUGUAAAACAGUGUGAGGAAAGGCCAUGUUAUGAUGGUGAGUGAAGAAAGCAGGACACAAUACAGCAAUGCUAAAUAAAUAA